rnacentral:rRNA from 1 species
UACGGAGGAUCCAAGCGUUAUCCGGAAUUACUGGGCGUAAAGAGUUGCGUAGGUGGCAUUGUAUGUCGGUAGUGAAAGCGUGAGGCUCAACCUCAUAAACAUUAUCGAAACUGCAAAGCUAGAGGGCGAGAGAGGUUACUGGAAUUUCUAGUGUAGGGGUAAAAUCCGUUGAUAUUAGAAAGACCACCAAUGGCGAAGGCACUCUACUGGGCCAUUACUGACACUGAGAGACGAAAGCUAGGGGAGCAAAUGGG